rnacentral:rRNA from 1 species
AACGAACGCUGGCGGCAUGCCUAACACAUGCAAGUCGAACGCCCUGGGCAACCAGGGAGUGGCGGACGGGUGAGUAACGCGUGGGAACCUGCCUCGAAGUUCGGAAUAACCGCGGGAAACUGCGGCUAAUACCGGAUGUGGCCUGAGGGCCAAAGGGGAAACUCGCUUCGAGAGGGGCCCGCGUUCGAUUAGCUAGUUGGUGAGGUAACGGCUCACCAAGGCGACGAUCGAUAGCUGGUCUGAGAGGAUGAUCAGCCACACUGGGACUGAGACACGGCCCAGACUCCUACGGGAGGCAGCAGUGGGGAAUAUUGGACAAUGGGGGCAACCCUGAUCCAGCAAUGCCGCGUGAGUGAUGAAGGCCUUCGGGUUGUAAAGCUCUUUUGGCGGGGACGAUGAUGACGGUACCCGCAGAAUAAGCCCCGGCUAACUUCGUGCCAGCCGCCGCAGUAACAC